AAUGAUUCUUUGGGUCUAGUGGGUCUUACACUAAACUCUCCUAUACACAUCUGUUCAGGAUCCAUUGAGUCUCUCUCUGAUGAAGCCUGGUUUUAAAUUUACACCUCAGUGAUGCCACUGUGCAAAAAUUGUUGCCAGCACUCAGUUUUCCAACGAUUUGGAUAAGUUCUAAGAUUUUACAGAUGAAUCCAUGCAGAGCUGAGAUAGCAUCUGAACAAACAAACAAGAAAACAUCCCCCUUAAACAUGUCAGGACUGAUCUGUAAGUUCAAGCUCCUCACACCGUGUCAGCGUGGACUCACUGCGGGGGUAUAAAACUCAGAUCCUCGUCUUCUGCAGAAGAAUCUGAACACGUCAGACGGAACAGACGAACCUUCGCCACCAUGUCCAGGAUCACAGGGAUGACGCUGCUGCUCAUCAUUCUGGUCAGCAGCCUGUGUGAUAGCACAGAGUCUGCUGCUCAGUCUGGUGUGACCAAACAGGAUAUUCUCAGAUGCAGAUGCACAAAGUCUUUCAGGGGCAAACUUAGGUGUCCCCAACCACUCCUACCCAUAGACAGCAAAGAGAAACAGGCUCUGAACAAAUGCCUCUGCAGCUCAGGAAAACAAGGCAAGCGUCCAGACCUUCUGCGAUUCUGCCACAGAAGUGUGUUUGGGGGAGCUGCUACACCCCUCUGACAUAAAUCAGUGGAAUUAUAAACGAACUUGAUAUAAAAUUACAUUUUGUAUGAUAUUAAUCUUUUUAUAUGUUUGUGAAUUUUCUACUGCUGUAAAUAAAAAAACAGAUCUUCAUCAGAGUUUUGUGUUCAUAUUGUUGUAUGUAUUAUUAUAUUAUUUUUUUGGUUCCAUCAUAUAUUUACAAAAAAUGAGAUCAGUUUCAGUUCUUCCAUUCAAAAUUACAUUAAAGUUAAAGGAAAAGGGAAGGAUUUUCCCUGAUGUCAUUAAAGCACGUAUAGCUUUGAAGCCAUGUGAUGGUUAUGAAACUGUGGUUAUGUCUCAAUGAAACAAUCGCCACUGUUACAUAGAAUUAUGCCUUUUUGUCUCCACACUGCAUUCUUUUUCAUUUUUCUAAUUAUUCAGUUCAGUUAUUUUAUUUCUAUAGUGCCACAAAGUUGUCUCAAGGAGCUUUAUACUUUUUUAUAACAGGAUAUAGAAUUAUUCCAGCCUGUCCCCCUUUUCAGUUCUCAUCUUGUUUCUUCUUGUCAGUUCAUAUUGUUAAUAGUCAGGUCGUAUAUUUUUAAAGAGACGACUAUGCAAA
ensembl:lncRNA